UACGUAGGGUGCGAGCGUUAAUCGGAAUUACUGGGCGUAAAGCGUGCGCAGGCGGCUUUGCAAGACAGAUGUGAAAUCCCCGGGCUUAACCUGGGAAUGGCGCUUGUGACUGCAGUGCUGGAGUGCGGCAGAGGGGGAUGGAAUUCCGCGUGUAGCAGUGAAAUGCGUAGAUAUGCGGAGGAACACCGAUGGCGAAGGCAAUCCCCUGGGCCUGCACUGACGCUCAUGCACGAAAGCGUGGGGAGCAAACAGG
rnacentral:rRNA from 1 species